UAGCUCAGUCGGUAGAGCAUGGGACUCUUAAUCCCAGGCUCGUGGGUUCCAGCCCUGC
rnacentral:tRNA from 1 species